rnacentral:misc_RNA from 1 species
GAUGAAGAACGUAGUGAAAUGCGAUACUUGGUGUGAAUUGCAGAAUCCCGUGAACCAUCGAGUCUUUGAACGCAAGUUGCGCCCGAAGCCAUCAGGUUGAGGGCACGUCUGCCUGGGCGUCACAUAUCGUUGCCCAAUGCCUAUUGCAGUGCAAUAGGAAUUUCUAGGGCGAAUGAUGGCUUCCCGUGAGCGUUGUUGCCUCGCGGUUGGUUGAAAAUCGAGUCCUUGGUAGGGUGUGCCAUGGUAGAUGGUGGUCGAGUUAGAACGAUACCGAUCAUGUGCAUGCUCCCCAAAAUAUGGCCUCUAUGACCCACACGCGUCUUUUGACGCUCAUGACGAGACCUCAGGUCAGGCGGGGCUACCCGCUGAAUUUAAGAAUAUCAAUAAGCGGAGGA